rnacentral:lncRNA from 1 species
AUAACCUCUACACACUGACCCAUUCACCUGUGUGACCACGCACGGCAGAGGCAACAGGGCCACGCUCCCUUGAUCAGGCUGAGGCUCUAGAGCCAGCGGCCUCCCCCUGCCGUAGAAGGCCUUUAUAGGAAACACAUGGUCUCUCCAGUACCGCGUGGAAUCAAAACAAGCUUCGGAACCAUUCCCUACCCACCCUAGACCUUCCUCCGGGCCCGAGAAGCAGAAGCGGCUCCUGACCUAGAGGCACCGGACAUGGGAAUGGAGGUCUCUUUGACUCUCUGGACCAGACUACUGAACCACCUCACUGGAUACCAUGAGCAGCAGAAGCCACUGCUCCCAGGCCCUGGCAGUUCUCCGAGGCCUGGAUCAUGGCCCCAUCCCGGUCCUGUCCACGGGUUUCAUGAGCACAUCCACGUCUCUGCUGCGUGGUCCUGGUAGUAGGGUUAGAUUUGACGUUCCUGAGGAACAAGUGUAUCUUGCCCAGCUUCUUGGCCAACCCGGAGCCGCCUGUGGAGCUCAGCCCAGAGUUGGCCUCAUCCUCGUCGAACGUCUCGAACAUCUCGUCGAUGAAUCUGAUGCUGACCUCGUUCGGAUCCCACUGUACUUGGCAAUCUUCCUCCGAUGGACUCCUCCUGUCCUUCUCCUCAAACAUAGACAACCAAAGCGAACAGGUCUUCCGGCGCGUCCUGCAUAG